rnacentral:rRNA from 1 species
AGCAGCCGCGGUAAUUCCAGCUCCAAUAGCGUAUAUUAAAGUUGCUGCAGUUAAAAAGCUCGUAGUUGAAUUUCGGGACUAAUAUGUCGGUCGUGCCUCGGUACGUACUGGUAUUUUCGGUUUCUCCCUUCUGACGAACCUUGAUGUCAUUAAUUUGGUGUCUUGGGAAAUCAGGACUGUUACUUUGAAAAAUUAGAGUGUUUAAAGCAGGCUCACGCUUGAAUACAUUAGCAUGGAAUAAUGAAAUAGGACGUUUGAUUCUAUUUUGUUGGUUUCUAGGAUCGACGUAAUGAUUAAUAGGGAUAGUUGGGGGCAUUAGUAUUCAAUUGUCAGAGGUGAAAUUCUUGGAUUUAUUGAAGACUAACUACUGCGAAAGCAUUUUGCCAAGGAUGUUUUCAUUAAUCAAGAACGAAAGUUAGGGGAUCGAAGACGAGCAGAUACCGUCGUAGUCUU